UACGUAGGGGGCAAGGGUUGUCCGGAAUCAUUGGGCGUAAAGAGCGUGUAGGCGGCCAGAUAAGUCCGCUGUGAAAUCUCGAGGCUCAACUUCGAGCUGUCGGUGGAAACUGUCUGGCUAGAGUCCGGAAGAGGAGAAUGGAAUUCCUGGUGUAGCGGUGAAAUGCGCAGAUAUCAGGAGGAACACCGGUGGCGAAGGCGGGUCUCUGGGCCGAUACUGACGCUGAGGAGCGAAAGCGUGGGGAGCGAACAGG
rnacentral:rRNA from 1 species